GAUGAACGCUAGCUACAGGCUUAACACAUGCAAGUCGCAGGGUAACAUGAGGAAAGCUUGCUUUCCUUGAUGACGACUGGCGCACGGGUGAGUAACGCGUAUCCAACCUUCCCAUAACUACGGGAUAACCCGUUGAAAGACGGCCUAAUACCGUAUGAUAUCGUUUGCUGACAUCAAAUAACGAUUAAAGGUUUAGCGGUUAUGGAUGGGGAUGCGUCUGAUUAGCUUGUUGGCGGGGUAACGGCCCACCAAGGCGACGAUCAGUAGGGGUUCUGAGAGGAAGGUCCCCCACAUUGGAACUGAGACACGGUCCAAACUCCUACGGGAGGCAGCAGUGAGGAAUAUUGGUCAAUGGGCGAGAGCCUGAACCAGCCAAGUAGCGUGCAGGACGACGGCCCGAUGGGUUGUAAACUGCUUUUAUGUGGGGAUAAAGUGCGUGACGUGUCAUGCAUUGCAGGUACCACAUGAAUAAGGACCGGCUAAUUCCGUG
rnacentral:rRNA from 1 species